rnacentral:tRNA from 1 species
GCGAAGGUGGCGGAAUUGGUAGACGCGCUAGCUUCAGGUUGUUAGUGUUCUUACGGACGUGGGGGUUCAAGUCCCCCCCCUCGCACCA